ACCUAACAGACUCUUCUCAUCCAACCACUGUAAAAAAGCACUCAAAUCCAACACUCCAUCACCAAAAACUUUCCCCCGAGGAAAAAAUUCUCAAAUCUCUCGCAGAAGUGAAAACCCAAGCUUCUCUACUAGUAGAUCUCCCAGAAAUGGCGACGAUUCCAAUGGACAUCGUCAACGACAUAUUCCUCCAAUUACCAGCAAAAACCUUAGUCCGCUGCCGUGCUCUCUCAAAGCCAUGUUAUCACCUAAUCAACGAUCCCGAUUUCAUCUCAUCUCACCUCCGUCGCGUCCUUCAAACCGGUGAUCAUCUCAUGAUUCUUCUCAGAGGCGCUCUUCGUCUCUACUCCGUGGAUCUCGAUUCACUCGAUUCCGUCUACGACGUUGAGCAUCCGAUGAAACGUGGUGGUCCGACUGAAGUUUUCGGAUCUUGUAACGGUUUGAUCGGGUUAUCUAAUUCUCCGACUGAUUUAGCGGUUUUUAAUCCGUCUACUAGACAGAUCCGUAAAUUGCCUCCGUCGUCUAUCGAUCUCCCCGACGGUUCGAGUAAUCGCGGUUACGUGUUUUACGGAUUGGGAUAUGAUUCCGUGAGUGAUGAUUAUAAAGUUGUGAGGAUGGUUCAGUUUAAGAGAGAUUCUGAUGAUGAGCUUGGUUGUUCUUUUCCUUAUGAGGUUAAAGUGUUUAGUUUAAAGAAGGAUUCGUGGAAGAGGAUUGAAUCCGUUUCGUCGUCGAUUCAGCUCUUGUUUUACUUUUAUUAUCAUUUGUUGCAUCGUCGUGGUUACGGUGUUCUUGCUGGUAAUAGUCUUCAUUGGGUUUUGCCUCGAAGGCCUGGUUUGAUUGCGUUUAAUCUCAUUGUGAGGUUUGAUCUUGCCUUGGAAGAGUUUGGGAUUGUUCGGCUUCCUGAAGUUGUUGCGUAUGGUAACGUAGAUAUUCAGAUGGAUAUAGCUGUUUUAGAUGGUUGUCUUUGUUUGCUCUGUUACCACGACCUGGGUUAUGUUGACGUUUGGAUGAUGAAAAAAUAUAAUGUGAGAGGUUCUUGGACUAAGGCUUUUACGAUUUAUAAGCCGAGUAGUGUGAAAUCGUUUUCGUAUAUUAGACCUUUGGUUUAUUCCAAGGACAGAGAUAAGGUUCUUUUGGAGAUUAACAAUACAAAGCUAGUGUGGUUUGAUAUAGAGAGUAAGAAGAUGAGUACUGUUAGGAUUAAGGAUUGCCCUAGCUCGUAUAGUGCUGAACUUGUUGUGAGUAGCCUUGUUUUGGGAUGUAAAGGAGAUCUUAAUAAUAUUAGGUUGCGGAAAGAACAACAAGCUAAAGAAGCGGAAGAAGCUAAAAUGAUGCAGAACAGUAGAAAGAGGGAUGACUUCCUGUCCAAGGGAUUCAAGCUGGUCUUAUAAUAAGUAAAAAAGCAAGAAACAGAGAAGGUAAGUGUAAAAGUCACCAUUGUUAAUGGUGUUUAGUUUGCUGUUAAAAUUCUUAUUUUCUUGUUUGCUUGCUUUCUGUCUCUGUUGUCGCGGACGAGCAUUUUUCAUAUUCGGGUGGGCACAAGAGAGUCAAAGGCAGAAGUCUGUCAUAGGGCGGAGAUAUGGGAGAGUGGAGAAAUAACUUCAACCAAAAAGCACCACAGGAGAUAGUAGUAAUAAACAACUUAACCCAAGUAUAUGUAUUUAGAGAAGAAGAGAGUAUACUUUUUUUUUUUUGCUAAACAAGAAGAGAGUAUACUUCAGAUAUACAAGUGUCGUUGGUUUGUAAAUAAGUGAAAUCUAGAAUCCCUACAUAACUCUUUUGAAGCUUGUCAUUACUUAAUAAUACUAACGCUUUGUACAUGCU